rfam:Parcubacteria bacterium C7867-005 C7867_00016, whole genome shotgun sequence.
CCACCCUUAGCUCAGUUGGUUAGAGCAUCGAGCUUAUACCUCGGGGGUCCUUGGUUCGAAUCCAAGAGGGUGGA